AGAGUUUGAUCAUGGCUCAGGAUGAACGCUGGCGGCGUGCCUAAUACAUGCAAGUCGAGCGAACAGAUAAGGAGCUUGCUCCUUUGACGUUAGCGGCGGACGGGUGAGUAACACGUGGGUAACCUACCUAUAAGACUGGGAUAACUUCGGGAAACCGGAGCUAAUACCGGAUAACAUUUGGAACCGCAUGGUUCUAAAGUGAAAGAUGGUUUUGCUAUCACUUAUAGAUGGACCCGCGCCGUAUUAGCUAGUUGGUAAGGUAACGGCUUACCAAGGCGACGAUACGUAGCCGACCUGAGAGGGUGAUCGGCCACACUGGAACUGAGACACGGUCCAGACUCCUACGGGAGGCAGCAGUAGGGAAUCUUCCGCAAUGGGCGAAAGCCUGACGGAGCAACGCCGCGUGAGUGAUGAAGGUCUUCGGAUCGUAAAACUCUGUUAUUAGGGAAGAACAUAUGUGUAAGUAACUGUGCACAUCUUGACGGUACCUAAUCAGAAAGCCACGGCUAACUACGUGCCAGCAGCCGCGGUAAUACGUAGGUGGCAAGCGUUAUCCGGAAUUAUUGGGCGUAAAGCGCGCGUAGGCGGUUUUUUAAGUCUGAUGUGAAAGCCCACGGCUCAACCGUGGAGGGUCAUUGGAAACUGGAAAACUUGAGUGCAGAAGAGGAAAGUGGAAUUCCAUGUGUAGCGGUGAAAUGCGCAGAGAUAUGGAGGAACACCAGUGGCGAAGGCGACUUUCUGGUCUGUAACUGACGCUGAUGUGCGAAAGCGUGGGGAUCAAACAGGAUUAGAUACCCUGGUAGUCC
rnacentral:rRNA from 1 species